UGGGUUCGACAUCCUCUGACAACUGAAGAAAUUUAGCUUUUUCCGUAAGGAAACAGAGAGAU
rnacentral:rRNA from 1 species